GGGAGCCGUGGAGGGAACUUUCCCAGUCCCCGAGGCGGAUCCGGUGUUGCAUCCUUGGAGCGAGCUGAGAGCUCGAGAACCUGCUAAGGCCAUCAAACCUAUUGAUCGGAAGUCAGUCCAUCAGAUUUGCUCUGGGCCGGUGGUACCGAGUCUAAGCACUGCGGUGAAGGAGUUAGUAGAAAACAGUCUGGAUGCUGGUGCCACUAAUAUUGUAGAGAUAGAGUUUCUCCAUGUUGGUCAGGCUGGUCUCGAACUACUGACCUCAGGUGAUCCGCUCGCUUUGGUCUCCCAAAGUGCUGGGAUUACAGGCAUGAACCACCGCGCCUGGCCCCCGUUCUCCUUACUGGAUCUAAAGCUUAAGGACUAUGGAGUGGAUCUCAUUGAAGUUUCAGGCAAUGGAUGUGGGGUAGAAGAAGAAAACUUCGAAGGCUUAACUCUGAAACAUCACACAUCUAAGAUUCAAGAGUUUGCCGACCUACCUCAGGUUGAAACUUUUGGCUUUCGGGGGGAAGCUCUGAGCUCACUUUGUGCACUGAGUGAUGUCACCAUUUCUACCUGCCAUGUAUCGGCGAAGGUUGGGACUCGACUGGUGUUUGAUCACUAUGGGAAAAUCAUCCAGAAAACCCCCUACCCCCACCCCAGAGGGAUGACAGUCAGUGUGAAGCAGUUAUUUUCUACGCUACCUGUGCACCAUAAAGAAUUUCAAAGGAAUAUUAAGAAGAAACGUGCCUGCUUCCCCUUCGCCUUCUGCCGUGAUUGUCAGUUUCCUGAGGCCUCCCCAGCCAUGCUUCCUGUACAGCCUGCAGAACUGACUCCUAGAAGUACCCCACCCCACCCCUGCUCCUUGGAGGACAACGUGAUCACUGUAUUCAGCUCUGUCAAGAAUGGUCCAGGUUCUUCUAGAUGAUCUGCACAAAUGGCUCCUCUCCUCCUUCCUGAUGUCUGCCAUUAGCACUGGAAUAAAGUUCCUGCUGAAAAUCCA
rnacentral:lncRNA from 1 species